CACCUCUAGCAUUUCUAGUAUUAGAGGCACUGCCUGCCCAGUGACACUAGUUAAACGGCCGCGGUAUUCUGACCGUGCAAAGGUAGCAUAAUCAUUUGUUCCCUAAAUAGGGACUUGUAUGAAUGGCCACACGAGGGCUUUACUGUCUCUUACUUCCGAUCCGUGAAAUUGACCUUCCCGUGAAGAGGCGGGAAUAUAACAAUAAGACGAGAAGACCCUAUGGAGCUUUAAUUAACCGACCCAAAGAGACCCCAUUUAUCCAACCGACAGGAACAACAAACCUCCACUAUGGGUCGACAAUUUAGGUUGGGGUGACCUCGGAGAAUAAAACAACCUCCGAGUGAUUUAAAUCAAGACUAACCAGUCAAAAGUAUUACAUCACUUAUUGAUCCAAAAACUUGAUCAACGGAACAAGUUACCCUAGGGAUAACAGCGCAAUCCUAUUUUAGAGUCCAUAUCGACAAUAGGGUUUACGACCUCGAUGUUGGAUCAGGACAUCCCGAUGGUGCAGCAGCUAUCAAAGGUUCGUUUGUUCAACGAUUAAAGUCCU
rnacentral:rRNA from 1 species